CUUAACGUUCCUUUUUACGCAGCAUCACGCUGGGCGUUGGCUGCUCUAGUUCACAACUCGUGGGCAUAUCAACAUGAUAGCUGUCAGCGUUGCAAGGAACUGGCUGCACCCCUAGCAAUUUGCAUUCCGUACAACAUGAACGGGAAGUGGCCAUAAGCAGCCGGAAGAGUGGAGACAAAGCAUAAUGCAACGCAUCGGUAUAGAAG
rnacentral:misc_RNA from 1 species